CGUAGGUGGCAAGCGUUGUCCGGAUUUAUUGGGCGUAAAGACGAGUGCAGGCGGCUCGAUAAGUCUGAUGUGAAAGACCUUCGGCUCAACCGGAGAAUUGCAUCAGAAACUGUCGAGCUUGAGUACAGAAGAGGAGAGUGGAACUCCAUGUGUAGCGGUGAAAUGCGUAGAUAUAUGGAAGAACACCGGUGGCGAAGGCGGCUCUCUGGUCUGUUUACUGACGCUGAGGCUCGAAAGCAUAGGUAGCGAACAGGAUU
rnacentral:rRNA from 1 species